GGCUGAUCUUCUUUGGAUCAGGCAACCCAGGAACGUAAAUCUAAAUUAAAUUAAGCUGUAUCUGCUCAAAGAAGAGCUCUAUCGUGAAAGAUGCAGGCAAAGACGGUUGCCUGCACGACGAUUCGCAAUUACGUUCACUGGGGCCCGUUUCGAGACCACUGACCGAAAUAUUUGUCAUUCUGCCACCGACCACGUGCUCGGGGAGUGAAUUCCGACGUUAUAGCUGCGUGCAGGAACGAGCACAAGUGGUAGGGGCACUAAGAACCAGAUAGAGGGGGCUACUACGACGACUGGUUUCAUUCAUAAACGGCCACGAUAUCUGGUCAAGCGGUGACGCGCGCCGUGCCGGCAUGUGCGAUCGAAAAUACGGCAUAAAUUGCGAGGCGCGGUCGUGACAUUCGAUGGAGCGAACGUAUUCAUGGCGGCAGUGUUGGAGGCAUAGAGCGGGUUAAACGAAGGCGUAGAAGGCCAUGGGAACGAUAAACUUCCGGCUUCGUUCUGCGCUGCGUUAAUCGAGCAUGUAUCCGUGCACACCUCGAUUCGGGCGCAAGUUUCAUUUACAAUUACCCGCAUAAAGCCGGUGGUACCCUUGUGUAGGCAACCGGAUAUACAUUUGGGAAGUUACGCAAAAAGUUUCUCCACGAUCUUGCCAAGGUAUCGCGAAAUUACUUCGCAUUAUUAUCCUCUUCACGUUGCUACAGCGAUAACCAAUUCUUCGCGUGAAACUUUUUCUAAAAAAUCCUGUAUGUUAGAGCUGAACGCUUGUUGAUACAUCUGGUUGCCUGCUCGUAAGGGGUUGACUGUAGUUGAAGCUAAAGUAGUGCCGCAAAGGGACCGAUUCGAGUUAAAAAAUCAAAUCUGAUCGUGAAAGCGAAUAUUUUAUAACGAAUAUCGUGAGAUAAUAUUUUUUUAUUUCGUUCGAACGUGACCCGCGUGCGAAAUACGCGAUACGGAGUUACCUUGCUUUUCAAGGGUGCAGUGGCUCGUGAUCUACAGUAUCUAUACACACGCGAUCAAGGUAAUUGCCAUUGGGCCGCAGAUAAUGCGGGUUACGCGAAAAAAAGCCGUCAGGAAUAGGACGUUCGCAUGCACGUCACCAGAUAUGACUCACAGAAGAAAAAGUGUGAAUGAUAACGCGCUACUGGAAUUCAUUUGAAUGAUCGAACUUGGUUCGCGGAACGGUUCAAAAACGCUUCCGCCCUGUUUGAUUCAUUAAACGCCGACAAGAGCAACAA